UACAGGGGUCCCGAGCGUUGUUCGGAUUCACUGGGCGUAAAGGGUGCGUAGGUGGUGAGGUAAGUCGGAUGUGAAAUCUCCAGGCUCAACCUGGAAACUGCAUUGGAAACUACCUUGCUGGAGGAUUUGAGGGGGGAUUGGAAUACUUGGUGUAGCAGUGAAAUGCGUAGAUAUCAAGUGGAACACCAGUGGCGAAGGCGAAUCCCUGGAAAAUACCUGACACUGAGGCACGAAAGCGUGGGGAUCAAACAGG
rnacentral:rRNA from 1 species